rnacentral:rRNA from 1 species
UGGGGAAUUUUGGACAAUGGGCGAAAGCCUGAUCCAGCUAUGCCGCGUGUGUGAAGAAGGUCUUCGGAUUGUAAAGUUCUUUAAGUUGGGAGGAAGGGCAGUAAGCGAAUACCUUGCUGUUUUGACGUUACCGACAGAAUAAGCACCGGCUAACUCUGUGCCAGCAGCCGCGGUAAUACAGAGGGUGCAAGCGUUAAUCGGAAUUACUGGGCGUAAAGCGGGCGUCGGUGGUUCGUUAAGUUGAAUGUGAAAGCCCCGGGCUCAACCUGGGAACUGCAUCCAAAACUGGCGAGCUAGAGUAGGGCAGGGGGUGGUGGAAUUUCCUGUGUAGCGGUGAAAUGCGUAGAUAUAGGAAGGAACACCAGUGGCGAAGGCGACCACCUGGGCUCAUACUGACACUGAGGUGCGAAAGCGUGGGGAGCAAACAAG